GUCCAGGAGCUGCGUCUUUUCUAGCUGGUCCGAAGCUGAUAAUCUACAAGGAGGGGACAGUUGCCUUAGAGGGCUAGGUGGCACUAUGGAGUCCCUGAAUUCAGAUUCAGUCUUCAAAAUCGUGUGGUGUGACUCUGGGCAAGUCAUUUAGCUUUGGAAUCAUCGCACCUCAUCUUCCUGGGUGUGGUGAAGAUCAAAUAAGCUUCCCAAACUCUGCCUCCCUCCCUAUUACCUGAAUCCCAGAGACAGUGAAAUAAGGAAUCUCAAAUUUGACAGCAAUGGGAGGCCGGC